rnacentral:rRNA from 1 species
UCUGUCCGAGCGUCUGCCAACCAUAAGUCCUCGCCCGGUGCGAGGAGAUUGGGGAACUGCGGUGUAUUGGUUGACCGCACUCCUUGAAGAUUCAACGACCGGUGUGCUUGCCUGCCGUACGAGUCGGUCGGUGACAACGGUGCACAGUGUUGUCCCGUCGUGCUGGUGCGUGCAGACCAUCGGUCGCGUGCACUCAGGUGGUACUAGCCAAUCUGGACCUCGGAUCAGGCCAGGCUACCCGCUGAAUUUAAGCAUAUCAAUAAGCGGAGGAAAAGAAACUAACAAGUAUUCCCUUAGUAACGGCGAGCGAAGCGGGAACAGCUCAAAUUUGAAAUCUCCGGUGCCUGCACCGGCGAAUUGUACUCUAUANGGCCAGUUUCGCCCGACGCA